UUAGGAGCAAUGGACAGCCUAAGUCUCAGGUCACAGAUACGGGCGGAGCUUAUACAGACUCCAAACAAUUUCGUUGAUAAUGGUAAAUGCCCAUAAGCAAUUGUUCAUGUAGUGUUUUCGUGGUUUAUGUGAUAAAAUAAGACUUUUCAGUUGAAUAUAUUGUUGAAGGAAUGUACGAUUUAAGAGGUUUUUAUUAGUUUUUCACGAGAAAGCAAGUUGUAAAAAACCUUGUGACCGACCUACUACCAAGACCUUCAACUGAGCCACUACCAGGUCCUUCAAGUGAGCCACUACCAGGACCUUUAACUAAACUAUUGCCUUGGUCUUUAAAACGAGAUCAUGAAGUGACUCAUAUUAAACUUGAUGCUUCACUCCUGAGUCCAUCAUCUGCAUUUCAAGAUACUGAGAAUUACUUUUUGACGCAGCAGGUGGUUGAUUGAUGGUGAUCACAAAUUUCAAUUAUCUUUCAACUGUCUGCAGCCCUCACAAACUCGCAAUAUCCCCCAAUUAAAGAAGUUGAGGAGUAUUAUUUGAUUAACCAUAUGGAGUUGAGCCUAUGUAAGACAUAUUAUAAUUUUGAGUUUUAAAUAUUUUUUAUUGUAGCAAUAUAUUUCAUUAUUCGAAUUAUUUUGUAAAAAGUUUAGAAAUUUUUAUUUAAAAUUAUGUAUAUUUAGAUUUUACUUAAUUUAUAAAUGACUUGAUGUAAUGCAGUUAUUGUUAAAAGUAAUAAUAAUACUGUUUUUCCAAUUUAAUAAAAGCCUGUAAAUCCAAUCACAAUUGUCAUAAAGUUAACAAAUACGAUUUGUUUUAAAAAUCUUUAUUGGCAAAAUGGCAUUUUACAUUUAUAUAAAAAAACAUAAUUUCCUGAACAAAAAUUUGUAUGGAGUGGCUUUUCAGUCUAAAAUGAAUAGUAAAGAUUUUUCCAACUGUAUACUCUAUCUGUUAACACUGUAGAAUAGCCUAAAAUCACAUUGAAAAACGUCAAAAAUUUUUAUUUAAUUGUCUAACAACUUUGGUAAGUAUUGUUCUAUAUAGAAAUUUUCCAAGAGUAAAA